CUUUGCCGUUUGGCUGAGCCUCGUGCGCGUGUGAAAAUCAACCAAGCCCUCCUUGGGCGAGCUAGGGGCGGAGCCGCCAAGCAGAAGCAGCUCCCCUGCGCAACGUCUCUGGUUGCAUUCACACUGGGCGGAGGCAGACUUUACACAUUUGCGGCAACUUUUGGUGCCCAAUGAGGAGGAGGAGGAUGAGAAAAAUUGCCAAAGGCAUCCGACUCUGCCGUGACCAACACCCUCAUAGGCACCGUCAGCCAGGGGGCUGAGCCUGGGAAUGGCCACCCUGUGUCAGACUCUUCCAACUCAUACUUACCUGGCAGGGGAGACACCAUGAUCAAGAAGGUGGUUCACCCAGGGCGAGGCUCGGCCAUUGCACUCCGGUCGUGCUGACCCCUGCGAAUGGGCUUCAGGCCAAAGGAAGUGCAAUUUAAAGUUUAGACUGUAAGCCUAAAACUGAAGUACUGAGAAGCUCCCCUAGGUUGCAGGCUUCUUCCCAGCUCUAUCAGUUGAGAAUUAGAUUGAGACCUUUUCUUGCUUUUAUGAGGUGAAUUUAGAAAGAUAUGAGUCCCUUAUUGGUUUCACUUAGCAUUUAUUGACUUUGUAUAUCAUGUACCACUAUUUAAUGCCACCACAACUGUCAUUUAGUGUAUCACAGUGACUUCAUUCAUCAUCUUGUGUUGAUAACACAUCAUAUCUGAAGUCAGAGGACUGCACAUUGGUCACCAGCAGUGAUGUCUGUCUCCUAUGUCUAUAAUUCUGUAUUAACCCAUUUAUGCUAUAUAUCUCAUUAAGAUUUUCAUGUUUACAGGGGAGAGCAGGAGUGCAGUCCCUCACCACUGGAAAAGAUGACAGCGGAGAUUCCCCCAUGGAACACAUGAGAUUUUCAUGUUAUGUGAUUACAGGGUAGAGCAGGAGUGCAGUCCUUCGCUACCGGAAAAAAACAUGACAGCGGAGAUUCCCCCAUGGAACACAUGAGGAAUUCAGUGGCGUCUACUGGAAACUACAGUAAUCUAUAUGUGGCUCCCCCCCAGUAGAAUCAAGUAAUGCAUAGACUGCAUUCCAUAUGAGUGAUUUUGUAUUUAAAUCAGCUAUUUGUUAUAUAAAAUACAUCUUAAUAAAAUGCAGCUUAUUUUAUCAAGAGAAUACUUGUGUAGGUACUUGCUGGAGGAGCUAUGAGUGUGGAUGCACAUGUUUAUCCUGAUAGAGGCUUCUCCAGGGGUCUGCAAGCUCUGUGAAACAGGUAAAUGAUGGCAUCCCCCCCUCUGAUGUCAGCAUGACAUGUGAACUGCUGGGAGUUGGGUUUGAGGGAGAGAGGAGGAAGUGGGACAGAGAUGAACAGAAUUUGUGAUCUUGAUUGACAUGGUUGUUGUACCACCAGGUGUAGCAGUGGCUGUAGCAGGAGUUCAGCUAUCACCUGUCCUCUACAUCUGUUUGUAAAUGUUUUACUAACUUAUUGCUGCAAAUAUUUAAGUCAUUAUUCAUUAAAAUAGUGCUGCUAUUACUAAGAAAAAGAAAUGCAACACUUUGUUGUACUGUGGUAUAAAAGACAACUAAAACAUUUAAUUCAUGUCACUCAUUCUGCCAAGUGUUGGGAUAUUAACAGUGUGUAAGAGCUGACACAGAAUACAUUUUGAUCCGUAUCAAUGAUCUUUAAAUCUAUGGAGUGGAUGAAGCAAUGAAAUUAUUUAUUUUGUUCUCAUGUUAAUGAUUUGUCAUUGUGUGCUUGUAUGACAGUAAAGAUCAGAGAAAUGUACAGUUGUAUUCACAAGUUUAAUAAACAAGGAAUCUAAUGAAA